GAGCCAGACUCCUACGGGAGGCAGCAGUGGGGGAUAUUGCACAAUGGGGGGAACCCUGAUGCAGCGACGCCGCGUGGGUGAAGGAGUGCUUCGGCAUGUAAAGCCCUAUCGGCAGGGAAGAAGCAAGACGGUACCUGACUAAGAAGCCCCGGCUAACUACGUGCCAGCAGCCGCGGUAAUACGUAGGGGGCAAGCGUUAUCCGGAUUUACUGGGUGUAAAGGGAGCGUAGACGGCAUAGCAAGUCUGAAGUGAAAGCCCAAGGCUCAACCAUGGGACUUCUUUGGAAACUGUUAAGCUAGAGUGCUGGAGAGGUAAGCGGAAUUCCUAGUGUAGCGGUGAAAUGCGUAGAUAUUAGGAAGAACACCAGUGGCGAAGGCGGCUUACUGGACAGUAACUGACGUUGAGGCUCGAAAGCGUGGGGAGCCAACAGGAUUAG
rnacentral:rRNA from 1 species